UACGAAGGGUGCAAGCGUUACUCGGAAUUACUGGGCGUAAAGCGUGCGUAGGUGGUUUGUUAAGUCUGAUGUGAAAGCCCUGGGCUCAACCUGGGAAUUGCAUCGGAUACUGGCAGGCUAGAGUGCGGUAGAGGAUGGCGGAAUUCCCGGUGUAGCAGUGAAAUGCGUAGAGAUCGGGAGGAACAUCUGUGGCGAAGGCGGCCAUCUGGACCAGCACUGACACUGAGGCACGAAAGCGUGGGGAGCAAACAGGGA
rnacentral:rRNA from 1 species